UACGUAGGGUGCGAGCGUUGUCCGGAAUUACUGGGCGUAAAGAGCUCGUAGGCGGCUUGUCGCGUUGUUCGUGAAAAUUUACCGCUCAACGGUGAACUUGCGGGCGAUACGGGCAGGCUAGAGUACUGCAGGGGAGACUGGAAUUCCUGGUGUAGCGGUGAAAUGCGCAGAUAUCAGGUGGAACACCGAUGGCGAAGGCAGUGAUCUGGGCCAGUACUGACGCUGAGGAGCGAAAGCGUGGGGAGCAAACAGG
rnacentral:rRNA from 1 species